rnacentral:rRNA from 1 species
UACGUAGGGUGCAAGCGUUGUCCGGAAUUAUUGGGCGUAAAGAGCUCGUAGGCGGUUUGUCGCGUCGCUGUGAAAACCUGGGGGCUCAACCCCGGGCCUGCAGCCGAUACGGGCAAACUAGAAUUCGGUAGGGGAGACUGGAAUUCCUGGUGUAGCGGUGAAAUGCGCAGAUAUCAGGAGGAACACCGGUGGCGAAGGCGGGGUCUCUGGGCCGAUACUGACGCUGAGGAGCGAAAGCGUGGGGGAGCGAACAGG